AACCGCAAAAGAAGCAGAGGGGGCUUAGUGGUGGGGUGACUGCGUACCUUUUGUAUAAUGGGUCAGCGACUUAUAUUCUGUAGCAAGGUUAACCGCAUAGGGGAGCCGGAGGGAAACCGAGUCUUAAUUGGGCGUUAAGUUGCAGGGUAUAGACCCGAAACCCGGUGAUCUAGCCAUGGGCAGGUUGAAGGUUGGGUAACACUAACUGGAGGACCGAACCGACUAAUGUUGAAAAAUUAGCGGAUGACCUGUGGCUGGGGGUGAAAGGCCAAUCAAACCGGGAGAUAGCUGGUUCUCCCCGAAAGCUAUUUAGGUAGCGCCUCGUGAAUUCAUCUCCGGGGGUAGAGCACUGUUUCGGCCAGGGGGCCAUCCCGGCUUACCAAUCCGAUGCAAACUGCGAAUACCGGAGAAUGUUAUCACGGGAGACACACGGCGGGUGCUAACGUCCGUCGUGAAGAGGGAAACAACCCAGACCGCCAGCUAAGGUCCCAAAGUCAUGGUUAAGUGGGAAACGAUGUGGGAAGGCCCAGACAGCCAGGAUGUUGGCUUAGAAGCAGCCAUCAUUUAAAGAAAGCGUAAUAGCUCACUGGUCGAGUCGGCCUGCGCGGAAGAUGUAACGGGGCUAAACCAU
rnacentral:rRNA from 2 species